rnacentral:pre_miRNA from 1 species
GGGAGAGAAGCUCCUUGCUGGAGAAGCAGGGCACGUGCAAAAGAUCAAUACUUUGGCCGUGGCUGAUCAUUGGUUGCACGUGCUCCCCUUCUCCAACAUGGGUUUCUCAUCCC